rnacentral:tRNA from 1 species
GAGGGUAUAGCUCAGUGGUAGACUGCCUGCCUAGCAUGCAUCCAGGCCCUGGGUUCAAGCCCCAGUACCUCUA